rnacentral:rRNA from 1 species
GACGAACCGAGCGAACGUUGUUCGGAAUCACUGGGUUUAAAGGGUGCGUAGGUGGGAAUGUAAGUCAGUGGUGAAAUCUCCGUGCUUAACAUGGAACUGCCAUGAUACUAUGUUUCUUGAAUUUCUGGAGGUAAGCGAAUAUGUCAUGUAGCGGUGAAUGCUAGAUAUGACAUAGAACACCAAUUGCGAAGGCAGCUUGCUACAGGGAUAUUGACACUGAGGCACGAAAGCGUGGGACUCAACAGG